UCUGGUAAUGAUGGCAGAGAGGUCACACCCGUUCCCAUACCGAACACGGAAGUUAAGCUCUCUAGCGCCGAUGGUAG
rnacentral:rRNA from 10 species